rnacentral:rRNA from 1 species
UUCUAAUUGAAAUAAUUAUUAGUAAAACCUGCACAAUGAAAAAUUAAAUUGCCGCAGUAAUCUGUGCUAAGGUAGCAUAAUCAUUUGCCUUAUAAUUGAAGGCUAGUAUGAAAGGUAUUACAUUUAAGUUCCUGUAAAUUUUUAAUUUCCUGAAAUUCUUAUAUAAGUAAAAACACUUAUUUUAUUAGGGGGACGACAAGACCCUGUUGAACUUCACAUUCUUCUGUUUUUCUGGGGCGGAAAUAAAACAACAACUUUUAUUAUAUAACAACCUGAAUUUCAUUACCUUAACCAAGUUACCACAGGGAUAACAGCAUAAUUUUUUUCUAAAGAUCGCAUUUAAAAAAUAGUUUAUGACCUCGAUGUUGAAUAUUUUUCUUUAAAUUGGAGCAAAAUUCUUUAAAGAAAGUCUGUUCGACUUUCAAAAUUUUACA